CUAAUAGACAUUGUAAAUCUUAAUAUUUAUGUAUGUAUUUUAUUAUUACCGGUUUUCCAUUUAUGAUGGUAAUAUUGUUUCUUCUAAGAAUAUUUAUUUUUCCUUCUAAAUAUUGAGAUAAAAUUCAUGCUUUUGAAAUGUUCUAUUCAGUGGCUUUUAGUAUAUUUGCUAUGUUGUGCAACCAUCGACACUAUCCAUUUCUAGAACUUUUUCGUCAUCCCAAACAGACGCUCUGUAUUCAUAAAAAAAUAACUUCCUACCUGUCUCUCCCCCUAGUCUUUGGUAACCUUUGUUAUACUGGUAAACUUUGUUGUGCUCUCUGUCUGUGUGAAUUUGCCUAUUCUAGGGGCCUCAUAUAAGUGUAAUCAUACAGUAUUUGUCUUUUUGGGUCUGUCUGAUUUCACUUAGCGGGUUUUCAGGGUUCAUUCAUGUUGCAGCAUAUAACAGUACUGCGUUCCUUUUUCUGGCUGAAUAAUAUUCCACUGUAUGGAUAGACCCCAUUUUGUUUAUUCACACAUCAUUUGGACAUUUGGAUUAUUUCUGGUUUUUGGCUAUUAUGAACAAUGGUGCUAUGAACAGUUGCGUACAAGUUUUUGUGUGAACAUAUGUUUUCAAUUCUCUCAUUAUAUACCUAGGAGUAGAAUUACUGGGUCAUAUGGUAACUGUAUAUUUUUGAGGAACUGCCAAACUAUUUUCCCACGUCCAUGCACCAUUUCACAUUCCCACCAGUAAGUAAGAGGGUUCCAAUUUCUGCGCAUUCUUGCCAACACUAGUUAUUAUCUGACUUUCUGGUUAUAAUCAUUCUAAUGAGUGUGAAGUAGCCUCUGGUGUCAUUUGGAUUUGCAUUUCUCUGAUGAGUGAUGCUAUCAAGCACCUUUGCUGGUGCUGUUGGCCAUAUGUGUAUGUUCCCUGGAGAAGUGUCUGUGCUGAGCCUUGGCCCACUUUUUAAUUAGGCGUUUGUCUUUUUAUUACUGAGUUGUAAGAGUUCUUUAUAUAUUCUGGAUUCUAGACCCUUAUCAGAUACAUGGUUUGCAAAUAUUUUCUCCCAUUCUGUGGGUUGUGUUUUCACUUUAUCGAUAAUGUCCUUAGACAUAUAAUAAAUUUGUAUUUUAAAAGUGACUUGAUUUGGCUGUGCAAGGUGGCUCACGCUUGUAAUCCCAGCACUUUGGGAGACUGAGGUGGGUGGAUCAUAUGAGGAGGCUAGGAGUUCGAGGUCAGCCUGGCCAGCAUAGCGAAAACUUGUCUCUACUAAAAAUACAAAAAUUAGUCAGGCAUGGUGGUGCACGUCUGUAAUACCAGCUUCUCAGGAGGCUGAGGCACGAGGAUCACUUGAACCCAGGAGGAGGAGGUUGCAGUGAGCUGAGAUCAUGCCAGGGCAACAGAAUGAGACUUUGUUUAAAAAAAAAAAAAAGUGACUUGAUUUAAGGGAAAAAAUGACUGGCUAUAUUCAGUCAGAUAUGGCAAAAAGUCUCAAGGUGUUAAUGUGAAUGAUUAAGGUCUUGGGGGGGGUGUCCCCUAUCAGACUACAGGUGUUUAGAGGCACAGAAAAAGGUGCAGUUGGGUUCUUAAUGUGAAAUGAUGAGAAGCACAACUCCAGUGUGUCUCUUUGUGUAGAAUGUCAGCAGACACCCCCUGCUAGAUGUGCUGGAUCAUGGGAAAGCAUUUCCAUUUGUUACUAGAUUGUUCAGAAGUUUUAAUUUAUGAUGGGUGUGGUGGCUCAUGCCUGUAGUCCCAGCACUGUGGGAGGCUGAGGCAGGAGGAUCAUCUGAGGCCAAGAGUUCAAGAUCAGCCUGGGCAACAUAGUGAUACCCUAUCUCUUAAAAAAGAAGAAGUUUUUAAAUUUGAAAUAAUAAUAGGUACUGGAUUUAUGCAAAUGUCUUUUCUGCGUCUUUUGAGAUGAGUAUCAGGUUUUUUUUUUUCCUUUUAUCAUCUGAUGAUGAACUUAAUGUUUCCAUUUGUAUUAAUGGAAUACUAAGUCCCUCUGUGAUUUCUGAACCAAGCUAUUCCUAGGCCUGAGUUUUAUUUUGUUGACACAGAAAUAAAUUAGAAGGCCAAGCGUGGUGGCAUGUGCCUGUAGUCCUAGUUGCUGAGGUAAGAGGAUUGCUUGAGCCCAGGAGUUCAAGGCUGCAGCAAGCUUUGAUUGCGCCACUGCACUCCAGCCUUGGCGACAGACUAAGACGCUGUCUCAAAAAAAAACAAAAACGACAAAAAAAAAACAAAACAGAAAAAAUAAACUAAGGCAAUGACAGUCCCUGGCAAAUGCUGGGAGGGAGGCAGCAGUGGUCAGGGAAGGUAACCCUGAAGCAGGACUUGUAAAGCAAAUAAGAUUGGGAGGCCAAGGUGGGUGGAUCACGAGGUCAGGAGUUCGAGACCAGCCUGGCCAACAUAGUGAAACCCCGUCUUUACUAAAAAUACAAAAAAAUUAGCCAGGUGUGGUGGUGGGUGCCUGUAGUCCCAGCUACUUGGGAGGCUGAGGCAGGAGAAUCUCGAACCCAGGAGGCGGAGGUUACAGUCAGCUGAGACCGCACCAUUGCACUCCAGCCUGGGUGACAGAGCAAGAUUCCGUCUCAAAAAAAAAAAAAAAAAAAAAACCAAGAAGAAAAGGAAUGAAUUAGAACUUCUUCUGCUUGGACUUAAGGGCAUCAUCAGGCAGGUUUUGGGUAGGAUAGCAGGGGAGGCAGAGACAUAGUCGGGGUCAGUGGUCAUGAGUGUGGCUUUGAGCCCAAAAACUUGGUUUCUGUUCCCUACUUUGCCACUCAGUAGUGCAUGACUUUGGCCAAAUUUCUUAAAUUCAUGAAGCAAGUUUCCGGGUGAAUGAAAUGGGGAUAAAAAUAGUGUUCAAACCUAUCCGUUGGUUUGUGUGAAACUGAAAUGAAUAGUAUCGUGCAGGUACUUGUGAGCAAGGGGAGCUGCUGUUUCCUGUCCCUUUAUGAUGGGAAAUAUCUAGACAAGUUCCCAACCCUCUGCACUGCAGGCUGCAUGGCACGGAGGGUCUUGUAACACCAGCUGGGGCUGGCCUUCUUUUAGGAGCUUCAGUGGUUCUGAAAACUUUUAUUUGUUUGUUUGUUUUAGUAGAUGUGGGGUCUUUCUGUGUUGCCCGGACUGGUCUCAAACUUCUGGACUCAAGUGAUCCUCCCCCGCUCAACCUCCCAAAGUGUUGGGAUUACAGGUGUGAGCCACUGUGCCCAGCCUUGAAAACUUUUUCAGGUUCUUCCAGGGUUACUGGGCUAUUAAAUAUUUCUAUUUCAUUAUAAGUCAGUUUUUCAAAGUUAUAUUAUCUUAAUUACCUUUUUUAUAUGUAUUAGUGUAGAGUAGCAUUUUAUAUUUUGAUAUCCUCCUUAUGCAUAGUUUUUCACUUUUUAUUCCUAGUUUUUCGUUUUUAAUAAGACUUUCAAGAAAUUUAUUUUAUUGGCCUUUUGAAAAAAGCAGCUUUAGAUAAAGUAAGCAGUUCUGCUUUCAUUUUAUAAUUUAUUUCUACUUUUGUUUCAUUAAUCUUUUCCUCCGGCAUGCCUUGGAUUUUGUUGUGUUACUCUUUUUCUAGAGGCUCGCAUUGUGUGUCUGGUUCACUUAUGAUCACGCUUGCCUACUUUUAAGAAUGGAAGAGGGGAGGUGGAGGGUGGCUGCACAGUCGAGGGUGUGAGGCAGUCUUGCUCUAGCCCCACCAUGCCCUCAGCCCGCUGUGGCCACGCUGGUUCCUCAAUUGCUGGGGCGUGCAGUGUCUGUAAGGGAGGCUACUGAUGCCAUCCGAGGAAGAUGUAAGGUUUCGUGUGGGCAGCGAGAGCCUAGCAGGCAUGUGGGGUGCCCAGCAAAGGGUAACAGUGGACAGUUGUUGCCUCAUUCCACAGAGUUUUGAUUUUUUUUUUUUUUUUAAUGGUCACUCCAUCAACAUCCCCCAUGGCCAGAGCCUGAGCUGGUCCCCAGAGACACAGGCAUUCAGCUGACAGCCUCGCCUUCACGCUGCUGCUGUUCUCAUGGGGGACAGGCCUCAGGUGGCAAUGCACAAAUCAUUAGUUAAGGGCAGUUGUGACAGUUACCAAGGAGUGUAGUCCCCCGCCCCCCGCCCAGUGAAAACAGCCCUAACCAGGGGUGGGGACCUUUGGGCUCUGACCCGAAGGGUAGGAGAAGCUGGAAGGACAGCAUUCCUGUCUGCGAAGGCAGGAGCAAAGCUGCCAGGCUAUGAAGGAAAUGGCUGGAGCCUGAAGUCAUGCAAGCUGGGGCUGGCAGGGACAGGGCCAACUUCCAGGCCUGGGGGCCACCAUGAGGAUUCAGGACGUGACCCCCAGGGCACAUGAAGGCCUUCCAUCUGUAUUUAAGAAAAGACUUUAUCAGACGAGUAUGGUGGCUCACGCCUGAAUCUUAGCACUUUGGGAGGCUGAGGCAGGUGGAUCACGAGGUCAGGAGUUCAAUACCAGCCUGGCCAAUAUGGUAAAACCCCAUCUCUACUAAAACUACAAAAAUUAGCCAGGCAUGGUGGCGCACGCCUGUAGUCCCAGCUACUCGGGAGGCUGAGGCAGAAGAAUCACUUGAACCCGGGAGGUGGAGGUUACAGUGAGCCAAGAUCGCGCCACUACACUCCAGCCUGGGUGACAGAGUGAGACUCCGUCUCAAAAAAACCAAAAGACUUUAUCUUAUUUCCUAUAUGUUUGUGGUUUCAGUCCUGAUGUAUAAUUUGACCCUAGUUAGAAUGGUUAUCUGAGGAAGUGGCCUGUACGAUUUCUGCUUUUUUAAAUGUGUGGCUCCCUUUCUUCAUUGAUUAACGUAUGAUUAUUUUUAUAAAUGUUCCAUGGCAGUGGGAAGGGAUUCUCUGUCACAUUCCACAUCUGGAUCAGUUCCUCCCCAUUUUGUUGGUCAAAUCCGAUCUGCCAUAUCCUGUGUAAUGACAAGUGAGUUGCAUUCUCACCGUCACUCCUGGGGUCUCUCCGCUUCCCCUGAGCUGGCUCAGCAGUCUGCUCCAUGUGUUUUGAUGCAGGGUGACCCAUUGGUAUUCCCGACACUAACGCCCCCGUCUGUGGACUGCUUGCUGCUUGGGCUUCACUGUGUCUGGUGUUGACAGUGCAGACCUAAAGGUGUGCACACAUGUGCACACACACUCCGCUGUCUUCUUGUUUGCACUGGACUUAAAUAUCUAUGAGGGUUAUUUUCAACUGCUGAAUUUGGAAUGAUUUUUAUAUCUUUUCUGCUUUCUGCCCAUGUACAUGUGUUUAUUUUACACUGUUGUGAUUGGUAGUUACUAUGUGGGGACACAAUUACUUGGGCUGAAAUAAUCCACCUGUUGUGGUUGGGGUCCUCUGGGGCAUUCCAGGGUGAGAGGUUGUCACUGCCACCUGGGCCAUGUGGGCCGGCACCAGCAUUUUGUGGUUACGAAUUCUACAGUCACAAAUAUCUUUGGGCAAAUCCCCUUCUAUACCUCAAGGCAGCUUUUGGUUUGCAACCCCACUGGCCAGAGGGAAGGGCCAGUCACUUGGCUCUCUCACUGCCCUGCGCCCCAGAUGGUUCUAGGGCUGCUGUUUUCCCUUGGCCCUGCCAACACCACUGUUUUUACUUCUGCUCAUUGGCUGAGUGCAGUGGUUCCUGGAAGCCAGUGGCACGUUUCCCCGCGUAGCUCGCUUAUCCCACAGCACACACCCAAGGGUUCUGUUGCUAACACGCUGAAUUAAUUCUUUGCUCAUCUUACAGAGUGUGUUUUGACUGCCCCCAUUUCUGAGGCCUUGUAAGGCCAGAGCUUUGUUGCUUCAUCGGCAGGUUGGGACUUAGAUGGCCGUGAAUGUUUCCUCUCUGCUGCUGCAGUAAGUAAGUGCCCGCACCAUAGUGUGUUUGGAGGCUGAAGUUGAAGCGAGGCUGUGAGGGGAGAUGGAC
rnacentral:lncRNA from 1 species